rnacentral:lncRNA from 1 species
CUGCAUCCUCAUAAGGUCUCUAACCAUUAGAGAACACACACACACACAACUGGUUGUGAAAUGGAAUUUAGGGCACUGACUGCAUUAAUUGGGCAGACAAGUGCCUGAGAACCUCAUAGAAUAAGGAUUGGCCCAGCCUGGAAAAUGCAACUUGGAUAUAAGAACUAAUUAUAGAUCUUCUACUUUGUAAACUCCUGAUGCCAUACCUGAGAGACACUUCCGCCAAAAACUUGGCUGGAAUCUACCUCAAUAUCCAGCUUUACAAACUUUGUUGCUAGUCAAAUAAAGACUGAGGAAAAAGAUUGAGAGAUAGGCCCAAAUUGUUUAUUUUUUUCAUUCCCUUUCUCCCAUAUUCCAAAUAAAAAUGAUAUCAGUGGACACCACAAACUUAGCACAACUAGUGUUAGCUGCUCUUCUACCUUCAUGAUGUACAAAUGAUUAAACAGGGACAUGUUCAGUCCAGUAUAAUUUUUUCAUAAGAAGGAAAGUAAAAAUCUCCCUCUCUCAGAGCAUAGUCAAGUCAAAGAACUUUUUAUCACAAUUUCUUU